UGACCUCAUCUCCUAUAGUUUCAUAACCCACCAGAUGCUGCCGUCGGCUGGGGACCGGAUUUCUAAAGAGAAGCCUUUGGGGACCACUUCAGACCCAGCCCGUCUGUCCAUUCCCAUUCUCAGAGCUCAUGGCUGUCAGUAGUAUGACAAAUACUGCCUUUUGCUAUAUGCGCAUAGGCAUUUUUCUUUAAAAGGUGUAGUCCAUGUGUGUUGUGGACACACGCGUCACAGCCGGGGUAUCACCGCCAUCAGAGGACGACUUUCAAGAGCCACUUCUCUCCCCCAAGCAGCUUGUGGGUCUCAGGGAUCACGCCUAGGUCCUCAGGCUUGGCAGCAAGCUCCUUCACCCACCAAGUCAUUUCGCGGGUCUGACUACAGAUAGAAUCUAAUGGGAACUUUUGUUUUUAAGAGUGACUUCACUUUUAGUUAUGGAGGGGGGUUACAUGUGUGAGUGUGGGUACCCGCAGAGUUCAGAAGAGGACACCUGGCCCCCUAGAGCUGGAGUGAGAGAAGUGUCCUGGUGUUCGUUCACAGCAGGAGGCCCAAGAACCAACCCUCGCCUCUUGGCUUCGUCCUCUUCGACCAUUCCCUGCCCUUCGAGGACCGGGAAUUCACCGCAGUACCGGCUUUUACUCCCCAUUGCACUAGGACUUAAACAAUCGGCUUGGAAAGCACGAAUUAGCCAGUCGCCUCUCGGUUGGGUUUGAUGUUUCUCAUGUUCAGAUGAGUCUUGGGGAGGAAGACCAGAGGUAGAGGGCUGUCUUCAUCCUCUUAUUAUAAAUUAAUAUAUCUGGGGAUCAUACUACCAACAAGCCUGAGGUCUAAUGAGUUUGAACUUGAGCAUCUGGCUGAGGGGUUAUUGCUCAGUUUCUCUGUUGAAUGGUUAAUUCCUUCCCCUCUCUCCUUACUACAUAGGAAAGGGGGAAUGGGAAGGGAGGGAGGGAGGAAGGGGGGAGGAGCUAGGAAGAGAGAUCACUUCACAGCCAUGCUCAAGAGAAAUAUCCUAUAUAAAUCACUUACAAUUCUUCAAUUUGGGGUUUUUUGUUCUUUUUUCUUUUUUUUAUUCAGUCGAGGUGAGCCUGGCAAAGUGCCUUAAUUUCUUGGCACUGUAAUAAAAUA